GUGCUUGCUUGUGUAGCACAUAUACUAAAAUUGAAAUGAUACACAGAUUAGCAUGGCCCCUGUGCAAGGAUGACAUGCAAAUUCAUGAAAUGUUUCAUAUUUUA